AAAAAAUUAGUUAAAUAUAUAACAUUAGUAUGUCAAACUGAAAUUAUUAUUAUAAUAAUAUUUUU
rnacentral:tRNA from 1 species